rnacentral:snRNA from 1 species
AUCGCUUCUCGGCCUUUUGGCUAAGAUCAAGUGUAUUAUUUAAACCAUUCUUUUAUUAAAACGUUCAUUUUCGGGGCGCCUGGGUGGCUCAGUCGGUUAAGCGUCCGACUUCGGCUCAGGUCACGAUCUCGCGGUCCGUGAGUUCGAGCCCCGCG